UACAGAGGGGGCAAGCGUUGUUCGGAAUUACUGGGCGUAAAGGGCGCGUAGGCGGCCCGCUAAGUCGAACGUGAAAUCCCCGAGCUCAACUCGGGAACUGCGUCCGAUACUGGCGGGCUUGAAUCCGGGAGAGGGAUGCGGAAUUCCAGGUGUAGAGGUGAAAUUCGUAGAUAUCAAGCGGAACACCGGUGGCGAAGGCGGCCUUCUGGACAGUGACUGACGCUGAGACGCGAAAGCGUGGGGAGCAAACAGG
rnacentral:rRNA from 1 species